UCCGUCACCGUCGGGGUGGAGAAAACCCUUGUGAUUGUCACAGGAUAUGGCUUUGAAGAGUCCCAGGCUUAGUCUGGGCUAGGAGAAGUGGAGAUUCCUGGGCUAUUUUUCCAACGUCUAGCACGGUCUUCGGGCUGUUCGGCGGUCCUCACGAUAAAUAAUAUACGCCAAGUAGAGGGAAAAAUAAUUUUAAAGUUCAGGUCAUCCAAAGGGGCUGAAUUCGUCGCCACUUUCAGCGGCACGUCACCCGCUGAAUCAACAGCAGGUCAGAGCUGUGAUUUAUGUGUCUCACAGUGGCGACGGCGUCCGUUUUUUAAAAAAGUCGAAGGCUUAUUCCGGAAGCUUCUACCAGGAUGAUAUUUUUGGGCGCCAGGAGCUCAAGGCACGUGGAGCAGGAGAUCCAAAAAGGGCAGCACAGCCAUGGGCAGCAAGGUCAUAGAGGCUGAGAAGCGCCAGCCUGAGUGCGCCGCUGGGUGACACCACUUCCUUAGUGGAUCAAGCCCAGAAAACUGCCCAGGGACUACACUUCUACCCGGAGGAAUGAAUUAUUGUGCCUUUCGCAGCAACUCCUGAUUUCCGGUGUCUAAAAAUGCAGCCUCGCUUUAGAAUGAAUAUCUUAUUGUACUGUACUCACUUUGACACUUAAAGGAAGUGCUUUGCGGCCUCUUUUUGGCAUAUCUGAAUUGCCAGCAGCACGACUCUUGCGUUUUGGGGCCAUCAUUAAGUAAAAUAAGGCUGAUUGAACACAAGCACUGCGAUACUGCAGCAGUUGAUCCGAAAACUAGAUUGGCUGAUACGUACCUAAUGGGUGGGGAGACACAUGCAAUGUGGAGACUGGACAAAGUUAUGAUUGAUGUCGCGGAUUGAUGACGGAGCUACUCAGAAUGGUGCACAAUUUAAAACUCAUGAAUUGUUUAUUUCUGGAAUUUUCCAUUUAAUAUUUUUGGACCACUGUUAACCAUGGGUAACUGAAACUGUGGAAAGUGAAACUGGGGGUAAAUGAGGGCUACUGUAUAAGUCCAUGUAAGAUGCUCAAUUGCCUUGCUGAAGAAGAUCGCAUGGAAAGGCCCUAAGACUCAUGGAGAGAAGGAGGAGUCCAACUGUAUCCAUCUUACCAGACAUCCCAUUCAAGACACUAGAUAUGUGAAUGAAGCCGUCUUGGACCCUCUAGACCAGCUCAGCUACCAGCCAAGCAUCAAGUGAUUCCUUUCUACACCAUAUAGAUCAGAAGAAUUACUCAACUGAGUCUUUUCCAAAUUGCUGGCCCAUAAAAUCGUGAUAAUAGAAUGGUUGUGGUUUUAAGCCACAAAAUUUUACAGUUUAUUACUUACUAAGAAUAAAUCUGUUUAGAAAAACUACAGAAUUUGAAAAUAAGGAAUAAGGAUUACUUUGUGCCCUUUCAGCGUUACCUAACAAGUCUGUAGGGCCUUUUGUUGACGUUCUAGGGGAGGUGAUUUUAACUUAGUAUUUAUUAUUAAUGAGGUCCAGACUCAUUAAAGUUAGAUGUUAAUUUGUAGACGAUUGAUAAGUUGUGAAUUAUUUUUGUCCAGUGGAAAGGAUUUCAUUUUGGUAGAAAAGAUAAUCCCAAAGGGGACAUUUUAUUGCCCUGCUAGACAUUCACUUGCAUUAUAUUUAAUUUUUGAGUGUUAUUACAACAUUUUUUUCUCUAUGUGUAGUUCAUAGUUUCUUGUAUUCUCUCUUGAAAAUAUAAGAACCAGCUUUAUCAUCCUGCUGGUUCUCUCAUUAAUGUGAUAAGUAAGUGACAUGCCCAUAAUAUAUUUGAAUCAUGUUUUUAACCUGGAAACUAUUUAUUUUGGCAAACUUAUUUAUAUUGAACAUUAAUUUUUUUAGGGGAUUGAAUUCAGUAUGUACUUGUUGAAAAUCUAUUAUGUAAAAUGUUGAGAAUAUGUUAUGCAAAACGUCAUGAAUGAGCAAGGCCUAGGUUGUUUAUAAGGUCUGAGUUAGUGCUGAACUGUAGUAUAUUAGUUUUCUAUUGCUGUUGUAACAAAUUACUGCAAACUUAGUGGCUUAAAGCAGCACAGACUUGUUCUUUUAAAGUUCGGGAGGUCGGUUGGUGUCUAAAGUGGGUUGCAGUA